rnacentral:rRNA from 1 species
AGAGUUUGAUCAUGGCUCAGGAUGAACGCUGGCUACAGGCUUAACACAUGCAAGUCGAGGGGAAACGACAUCGAAAGCUUGCUUUUGAUGGGCGUCGACCGGCGCACGGGUGAGUAACGCGUAUCCAACCUGCCCAUCACUUGGGGAUAACCUUGCGAAAGUAAGACUAAUACCCAAUGACGUCUCUAGAAGACAUCUGAAAGAGAUUAAAGAUUUAUCGGUGAUGGAUGGGGAUGCGUCUGAUUAGCUUGUUGGCGGGGUAACGGCCACCAAGGCGACGAUCAGUAGGGGUUCUGAGAGGAAGGUCCCCCANAUUGGAACUGAGACACGGUCCAAACUCCUACGGGAAGCA